GCUUAGGGAAAAAGUGAUUUUUAAGGAAAAAAUAUUUAAGAUAAAAUAUAUUUAGGGGAAAAAUAAUUGUUAGAAAAAAAUGUUUAGAAAAAACUAUUUAAAAAAAAUAUUUUUAAGUAAAAAUAUUUUAAAAAAUAAAAAUUUAUUUAUUAUAUAUAUAAAAUUAAAAUAGGGAUUGGGUCGGGAUCGGGGGAGAGGGGGUUCAUAGACCCGAACCCAAUCGGGUUGGC
rnacentral:lncRNA from 1 species